GAUGAACGCUGGCGGCGUGCCUAAUACAUGCAAGUCGAGCGAACGGACGAGAAGCUUGCUUCUCUGAUGUUAGCGGCGGACGGGUGAGUAACACGUGGAUAACCUACCUAUAAGACUGGGAUAACUUCGGGAAACCGUAGCUAAUACCGGAUAAUAUUUUGAACCGCAUGGUUCAAAAGUGAAAGACGGUCUUGCUGUCACUUAUAGCUGGAUCCGCGCUGCAUUAGCUAGUUGGUAAGGUAACGGCUUACCAAGGCAACGAUGCAUAGCCGACCUGAGAGAGUGAUCGGCCACACUGGAACUGAGACACGGUCCAGACUCCUACGGGAGGCAGCAGUAGGGAAUCUUCCGCAAUGGGCGAAAGCCUGACGGAGCAACGCCGCGUGAGUGAUGAAGGUCUUCGGAUCGUAAAACUCUGUUAUUAGGGAAGAACAUAUGUGUAAGUAACUGUGCACAUCUUGACGGUACCUAAUCAGAAAGCCACGGCUAACUACGUG
rnacentral:rRNA from 1 species